rnacentral:tRNA from 1 species
GCAGGGGUAGCAAAGCUUGGCCAAAAGCUUUUCUUUCUUUGUAAAGAAAGAAAACCUUGGAAAAGAAAGAAACUUUUCUGCUGGCUUGAUGCGAUGGGUUUAGGACCCAUUCCCUUAGGGGUUCGCCGGUUCAAACGGGCUUUUCUUUUGUAAAAGAAAAGACCCGCGGAAAAGAAAACCGCGGUUGCCUGAAAAUCCGGCCCCCUGCA